rnacentral:rRNA from 1 species
UACGAAGGGGGCGAGCGUUGUUCGGAAUUACUGGGCGUAAAGGGCGCGUAGGCGGCCGAUCAAGUCAGAUGUGAAAGUCCUGGGCUUAACCUGGGGACUGCAUUUGAUACUGAUUGGCUUGAAUGCAGGAGAGGAUAGCGGAAUUCCCAGUGUAGAGGUGAAAUUCGUAGAUAUUGGGAAGAACCCCGGUGGCGAAGGCGGCUAUCUGGACGGUAAUUGACGCGGAGGAACGAAAGCGUGGGAGCAAACAGG